rnacentral:misc_RNA from 1 species
GAUGAAGAACGUAGCGAAAUGCGAUAAGUAGUGUGAAUUGCAGAAUUCAGUGAAUCAUCGAAUCUUUGAACGCACAUUGCGCCCCUUGGUAUCCCGAGGGGCAUGCCUGUUCGAGCGUCAUUUCACCACUCAAGCCUGGCUUGGUGUUGGGCGACGUCCUCUUUGGGGACGCGCCUCGAAACGCUCGGCGGCGUGGCACCGGCUUUAAGCGUAGCAGAAUCUUUCGCUUUGGAAGUCGGGGCCCCGUCUGCCGGAAGACCUGCUCGCAAGGUUGACCUCGGAUCAGGCAGGGAUACCCGCUGAAUUUAAGCAUAUCAAUAAGCGGAGGA